rnacentral:lncRNA from 1 species
AGGAUGGUUUCUGGAUUUGUUGCGUGAGACGUGACCUACCCUCCAAUGUCUGAAGUCAUCUCUUGCCUGCCUGGAAGGCCUGCUGUAUGUUUCGGGCAUUACUGUUUAUCCUCACGUCAUAGUUUUACGGUCUCAUUCUGUCUCCCAGGCUGGAGUGCAAUGGCACAAUCAUGGCUCACUGCAGCUUCAACCUCCUGGGCUCAAGCAAUCCUCCCACCUCAGCCUCCAGAGCAACUGGGACUACAGGGACUUUAAGAAGCUGCUGAAGAACCCAAGAGGAAGGUGGGAGCUGUUGAUGGUGUGGAAUUAGAGGCCUGAUGGAGUGGAGAGCUUUCCUCCUCAUCACCUGGGUCAGGACCAUGGAGCUCCUUGAGCCUUGAGAUUCCAGGCCCAGGAGCACAUCAUCAUUGUGCUUCUUGGGGCCCAGGCGCAUCUCCUAAGAACUUGUUCUUAGACAUGUUGUGCUCAAACUUGUGGCAUCAUAGCAGUAAUAGUUUACAAUAUACCUACAGUUUCCUGGGCAGAUCAUCGUGUGCAGACCGGCUGCAGAGAGAAGGGAACUGUUUCACUUUCAUCUUCCUGGGCCAUUUCCAGAUAUGAAUUGCAGAGACAUAUUUCAAUAUAUCCUCACCCAAAUAUGCUUUAGAAGUACAUUUCUUUUAAUGUAAUAAGAUUUAUGUCCUUUGUGUUUGUUUAGAGGGUAAAUCUGGAUUUGUAUUUUUAGAAGUUACUUUCACCAAAGAAAUUCGAAAGAAAUAGUGUUUCAGAAAAAUCAAAACAAGCCAUAGAAAUCUAAUAUGUUUCAGAUACUAUAUUGGGCUGCAUGAAGACUAAAUCCAUAAUAUGUAUGAAUAAUGUAUUCUAAAGUAAAUAUCAUAUUUUGUCAAAUUAUUUGUCUGGCAAAAUUAAGUUCUUUUUUCUUUAAAAUGAACUUUUUUUCUUAUUUCGAAGUGAUGU